rnacentral:misc_RNA from 1 species
AAGUCGUAACAAGGUAACCGUAGGUGAACCUGCGGUUGGAUCAUUACUAAAUGAUAAAACCUUCUCUAUGUCUGGGUGCUAACACACUCUUUCAUAGUAGAAACACACCAUGUGAACUUUAUUUUGUCUUUGCUGAUGUUGGUGUACAUUCGUGUGCAUUCAGUCAGCAAACUUAUUUACAAACCCCUUAUAUUAAGUCUUACUUUUAUAAAAGAAUGUAAACAACUUUUAACAACGGAUCUCUAGGCUCUC